UACGUACACAUGCAAGUCGAACGGUGAACCAGAGCUUGCUCUGGGGAUCAGUGGCGAACGGGUGAGUAACACGUGGGCAACCUGCCCCAGACUCUGGGAUAACCUCGGGAAACCGAUGCUAAUACCGGAUACGACCACUUCGGACAUCCGACGGUGGUGGAAAGUUUUUCGGUCUGGGAUGGGCCCGCGGCCUAUCAGCUAGUUGGUGGGGUAAUGGCCUACCAAGGCGACGACGGGUAGCCGGCCUGAGAGGGCGACCGGCCACACUGGAACUGAGACACGGUCCAGACUCCUACGGGAGGCAGCAGUGGGGAAUAUUGCACAAUGGGCGAAAGCCUGAUGCAGCGACGCCGCGUGAGGGACGACGGCCUUCGGGUUGUAAACCUCUUUCAGCAGGGACGAAGCGAAAGUGACUGUACCUGCAGAAGAAGCACCGGCUAACUACGUG
rnacentral:rRNA from 1 species